GUGCCAGCAGCCGCGGUAACACGUAGGGGGCGAGCGUUGUCCGGAAUCACUGGGCGUAAAGGGCACGCAGGCGGACCGACAGGUCGUUUGUAAAAGGCAUAGGCUCAACCAAUGUAAGCACUUGAAACUGAAUGACUUGAGUAUAGGAGAGGUAAGCGGAAUUCCUAGUGUAGCGGUGAAAUGCGUAGAUAUUAGGAGGAACACCAGUGGCGAAGGCGGCUUACUGGACUAUUACUGACGCUGAGGUACG
rnacentral:rRNA from 1 species